GGGUUGUGAGGUUAAGCGACUAAGCGUACACGGUGGAUGCCCUGGCAGUCAGAGGCGAUGAAGGGCGUGCUAAUCUGCGAUAAGCGCCGGUAAGGUGAUAUGAACCGUUAUAACCGGCGAUACCCGAAUGGGGAAACCCAGUGUGACUCGUCACACUAUCAUUAACUGAAUCCAUAGGUUAAUGAGGCGAACCGGGGGAACUGAAACAUCUAAGUACCCCGAGGAAAAGAAAUCAACCGAGAUUCCCCCAGUAGCGGCGAGCGAACGGGGAGGAGCCCAGAGCCUGAAUCAGCAUGUGUGUUAGUGGAAGCGUCUGGAAAGGCGCGCGAUACAGGGUGACAGCCCCGUACACAAAAGCGCAUGUGCUGUGAGCUCGAUGAGUAGGGCGGGACACGUGGUAUCCUGUCUGAAUAUGGGGGGACCAUCCUCCAAGGCUAAAUACUCCUGACUGACCGAUAGUGAACCAGUACCGUGAGGGAAAGGCGAAAAGAACCCCGGCGAGGGGAGUGAAAAAGAACCUGAAACCGUGUACGUACAAGCAGUGGGAGCCCCACCACUAAGCCAGUGGUGAACUCCACAUACGCAUCCUUUGCUGAGGAUACGGUUAACGGAGCGAAAGCGACGUUCAACCUCAAAAGAAGCAGAGGGGGCUUAGUGGUGGGGUGACUGCGUACCUUUUGUAUAAUGGGUCAGCGACUUAUAUUCUGUAGCAAGGUUAACCGAAUAGGGGAGCCGGAGGGAAACCGAGUCUUAAUUGGGCGUUAAGUUGCAGGGUAUAGACCCGAAACCCGGUGAUCUAGCCAUGGGCAGGUUGAAGGUUGGGUAACACUAACUGGAGGACCGAACCGACUAAUGUUGAAAAAUUAGCGGAUGACCUGUGGCUGGGGGUGAAAGGCCAAUCAAACCGGGAGAUAGCUGGUUCUCCCCGAAAGCUAUUUAGGUAGCGCCUCGUGAAUUCAUCUCCGGGGGUAGAGCACUGUUUCGGCUAGGGGGCCAUCCCGGCUUACCAACCCGAUGCAAACUGCGAAUACCGGAGAAUGUUAUCACGGGAGACACACGGCGGGUGCUAACGUCCGUCGUGAAGAGGGAAACAACCCAGACCGCCAGCUAAGGUCCCAAAGUCAUGGUUAAGUGGGAAACGAUGUGGGAAGGCCCAGACAGCCAGGAUGUUGGCUUAGAAGCAGCCAUCAUUUAAAGAAAGCGUAAUAGCUCACUGGUCGAGUCGGCCUGCGCGGAAGAUGUAACGGGGCUAAACCAUGCACCGAAGCUGCGGCAGCGAACGUAUCACCCAAGACAACUUUGCGGAGUUGACGAUUGACGGAGCGAAGCGACGUCAAAGCGUUCAUUAAAGUCGAGUUGGCUUAGGGAUACGUUCGUUGGGUAGGGGAGCGUUCUGUAAGCCAGUGAAGGUGUGUCGUGAGGCAUGCUGGAGGUAUCAGAAGUGCGAAUGCUGACAUAAGUAACGAUAAAGCGGGUGAAAAGCCCGCUCGCCGGAAGACCAAGGGUUCCUGUCCAACGUUAAUCGGGGCAGGGUGAGUCGACCCCUAAGGCGAGGCCGAAAGGCGUAGUCGAUGGGAAACGGGUUAAUAUUCCCGUACUUGGUGUUACUGCGAAGGGGGGACGGAGAAGGCUAUGUUGGCCGGGCGACGGUUGUCCCGGUUUAAGCGUGUAGGUGUGUGUUCCAGGUAAAUCCGGUUCACUUUAACACUGAGGCGUGAUGACGAGGCACUACGGUGCUGAAGCAACAAAUGCCCUGCUUCCAGGAAAAGCCUCUAAGCAUCAGGUAACAUCAAAUCGUACCCCAAACCGACACAGGUGGUCAGGUAGAGAAUACCAAGGCGCUUGAGAGAACUCGGGUGAAGGAACUAGGCAAAAUGGUGCCGUAACUUCGGGAGAAGGCACGCUGACACGUAGGUGAAGUGAUUUACUCACGGAGCUGAAGUCAGUCGAAGAUACCAGCUGGCUGCAACUGUUUAUUAAAAACACAGCACUGUGCAAACACGAAAGUGGACGUAUACGGUGUGACGCCUGCCCGGUGCCGGAAGGUUAAUUGAUGGGGUCAGCGCAAGCGAAGCUCCUGAUCGAAGCCCCGGUAAACGGCGGCCGUAACUAUAACGGUCCUAAGGUAGCGAAAUUCCUUGUCGGGUAAGUUCCGACCUGCACGAAUGGCGUAAUGAUGGCCAGGCUGUCUCCACCCGAGACUCAGUGAAAUUGAACUCGCUGUGAAGAUGCAGUGUACCCGCGGCAAGACGGAAAGACCCCGUGAACCUUUACUAUAGCUUGACACUGAACAUUGAGCCUUGAUGUGUAGGAUAGGUGGGAGGCUUUGAAG
rnacentral:rRNA from 1 species